UAUGUUUUACCUCCCGGGGGACAUUUGGUGUGAUCCUCUACGUUGUGGCUUCUGUCGGUGUGAUGACAAUGAUGUUUCGUGCGACAACACGUCAUGUGACCUGCUAACAGGAGAAGAAUUUUGCACGGAUAGAAAAAGUCAAAUCUCUACAAUUCUAUGAACACGUCCAAUACUUUGAUAACAAAAACUGUUUAAAGAUUUUUGUAAUUCUAGAUUCUAAAAGCAGUAUUUUCAAAAAGUAUUUCAUGAAUUUUGAUGAAGACAGCGUA